rnacentral:tRNA from 1 species
GCCUCGUUAGCGCAGUAGGAAGCGCGUCAGUCUCAUAAUCAAAUGUAGUAAUUUGAAUGUCGUGAGUUGGAUCCUCAAACGGGGCA